rnacentral:lncRNA from 1 species
GAGACCAGCCUAGCCAACAUGGUGAAACACCAUCUCUACUAAAAAUAGAAAAAUUAGCUGGGCAUGGUGGUGCAGGCCUAUAAUCCAGCUACUUGAGAGGCUGAGGCAGGAGAAUCACUUGAACCCAGGAGGUGGAGGUUGCAGUGAGCCAAGAUCAUGCUAUUGCAUUGCAGCCUGGGUGACAGAGCAAGACUCUCGUCUCAAAAAAAAAAAAACAUUUAUUGAAAUGUAAUUCACAUACCAUACUAUUUGCGCACUUAAAAUUUAAAUUAUUGAAUUUUAAUUUAAAUCAAUUUAAAUAAAUUUGCAAGGCUGAUUUAUUAGCUAUACAUCUCAAGAGUCUGUAGGGUAUUUCCAAAAAUGAUCUUAUACUGGGACAUAAUGUGUUGAACUUCUAAACUUCAUAGGCUAUAUUUUCUAACCACAACACAACAAAAUAGAAUAACUAAUGGUUAAAUUUAAAAUAUCAGCUACAACAAAUGAGAAAAUAUUCUGAAUAAUUUGGGAAUCAACAAAGAAAUAAAACCAAAAAUGACAUUAGUUAGAAAAUAACAAAAAUGAGAAGCUUAUCUGUCAAAACCUAUAGAAUGAAGCCAAUUAUAUAGUUAAAGGUUUAUGUUUUAAAUGCCUUAAUUACUUUUAAAAGGGAAGAAAAAAAACAUGGGAAAAGCAAAAUGAUAAUCCAGUGUGGCUCUUGGAAAUAACCAAGAAA